AGUGAACGCUGGCGGUAGGCCUAACACAUGCAAGUCGAACGGCAGCACAGUAAGAGCUUGCUCUUACGGGUGGCGAGUGGCGGACGGGUGAGGAAUACAUCGGAAUCUACUUUUUCGUGGGGGAUAACGUAGGGAAACUUACGCUAAUACCGCAUACGACCUACGGGUGAAAGCAGGGGAUCUUCGGACCUUGCGCGAUUGAAUGAGCCGAUGUCGGAUUGGCUAGUUGGCGGGGUAAAGGCCCACCAAGGCGACGAUCCGUAGCUGGUCUGAGAGGAUGAUCGGCCACACUGGAACUGGGACACGGUCCAGGCUCCUACGGGAGGCCGCAGUGGGGAAUAUUGGACAAUGGGGGCAAGCCUGAUCCAGCCAUACCGCGUGGGUGAAGAAGGCCUUCGGGUUGUAAAGCCCUUUUGUUGGGAAAGAAAAGCAGCAGGUUAAUACCCCGCUGUUCUGACGGUACCCAAAGAAUAAGCACCGGCUAACUUCGUG
rnacentral:rRNA from 1 species